UUUACUUUCGGUUUUCGGUUAUUUGGUCAAGCAUCUACACGUCUACACCAUGCACACCCUUUAGGUCGUAUCUUGCCACACAACGAUAAUCGUCAUCUGUCUUGCAUGCUUGCGUUUGCUUUCUUAAAAACGCUGCGCUCGCUACUUUCCUGUCGAGAAUGCAAAGAAUGCUCUGUCGUGCUCAUCACGCGCAUGCCGUUCGUGACUUGGAAAUACCGGGCUCGCAGUGUUGAAGAAAGAAAAAUGCCGACAAGACAGAUGGAGUUAUUGUACUCAACAAUCUGCGGGAUCGGCCCCAUGCAUGGUGCGUUCCCGAAGAUAGUGCAAUCUUCGGGAACGGGCCGGGCCGCGACGGAGGUGAAGCAGGCGUUAAACCCAUACGCGGGCCGAUCAUAUAGGGGUCCUCACACACAGCUGCACUAGUCAUUCUUCACAGAGUGGAGGGGCACUGAGUUUAUCGUUUCGUAGUCUUUAUUUUACGCGGCUCAUGCAUUUGUGAGCUGCCAUAAAGAAGACAAUUGAACGCUGUUGUUUCGUUCUUGGCUGCACUCCAUGACUUAUCAUUCUAGCUCUACGAAAACUUCCCCUAUAUAUUUAUUCAGCCGUAAUCAUAAGGGACCCCUUAUCCGUUUGUUCUGCUAUAUAAGUGUAAAAUUCGUCUACAAUUCUCCGAGAAUUUUAUUCAUCCAUCCCCCAACAUUUACGUCUCAUAUCCGUUUGGUAUGGGUACCUGUAACGUAUAGUAGUUCGAGUAUUGAGACUGAUUACGGCCGAUUCUGUUGGGAACACACACACAUUUAUUUCAACGAAACUGCAGCCAUCUUGGAAGCUCCCCUGAACCCCAGGGUUGCCUUCCUUCAUUCCAAAGAGUGCCAUACAUGGACACUACAUCAUCCCCUCAGGGAAGGAAAAAUCAGUUUUGCUUAAACACGAAGUCUUUCAGGUGCCUAGGUCGUUGCCUGGAUCGUUGGGGGUACCGCUGUGAGACGGUCUUGGGAGCUGCUGAUAUGGCUUGGCUAGGAGUAGCUAUGCUGGGGGUUGGAAGGUCACUGUUACUUGGCACAGCUUCAUCAUCCAGAUAUGGCAUGUCGGUCGGGUCCUGAUGUCGUUCCACUUGAACUGUGCUUGCAUCUUUGAAGAAACUUGAGUUGCGACAAAUCGACACUCCAUCUCUGGAUGCUGUGAUUCUGGAGCCAUUGACUUUGGUGAUUGUGUAUGGGUGUGGGUCAUAGUAAGGCGAAAACUUGUUUGACCUGUCCUGUUUACAGAGGACUUGUUGUCCCACACACAGCUGGUUGUUACUCGUAUGCCUCCGAGUGUCGACGUACCACUUGUUGUAUGCUUUUCUUUUAGUGUCAUUCUGUCUGGCCUCAUACUGAGCCGAGUUGUGAGUACCAGCGACAAGUGUCGGUAGAAGAUUCUUUAUGGGUCUCCCAAACAGAAGUUCAAACGGAGAUUUUCCUGUGGAACUAUGGGGUGUGGACCUAUAAGCCAGAAGGAACGACUGAAGCUCAUUAGUCCAAUCCAAGUGGCUGACACGACUUGCGAGUAUAGACUUCUUGAGGGUGCGCAUGAAUCUUUCUGCUUCCCCAUUAGCCUCUGGCCACCGUGGAGUGAUGCGGUGAUGCUUGAACCCGAGCUCACUGGCGAACUCUGCAAAACUCUCACUCUGAAAUGGUGAGCCAUUGUCUGACUUUACAACUUCUGGACAGCCGAACUGAGCGAAAACAGUGCGCAGUUGCUUGAUGACUGUAGGUGCUGCAAGAGUGUGUAGGAUGCUAACAACUGGGUACUUGGAGAAAUCAUCCACCACUGCCAUGGCAUACUUGCCAUCAGGGAAAGGGCCAGCAAAAUCUAACGACAGUUCAGUCCACGGGCCUCGAGGCAGCUCCUGGAUUGGCAAGGGAUCUCGAUGGUGUACUGGUGUGUUUGCUUGGCAUGUCAGGCAACUCUUAACUGUCUGGUCCACCAAAGAGUCUAUCCCUGGAAACCACACUUUCUCACGCAACAGCUGUUUUGUCUUGACAAUGCCUUGGUGUCCUCGAUGUGCAAGAUGCACUGCCUUAGUGUGAAGUUGUGCUGGCAGUACUAUCCGCGUGCCUCUUAACACAAGGCCUUCUUUGGAAACUGACAGUUCUGUCGCAACGCGAGAGAAGGGCAUCAGAGUUGUGGUCUUCCAAUCUCCCCUGAACCCCAGGGUUGCCUUCCUUCAUUCCAAAGAGUGCCAUACAUGGACACUACAGUACCAGGAUCAAGAUUCUAGCCACCCUAACCAGGACACAUGUGGGACCAACAUUCUAUAUGGGACUCCUUCUAAACGAGUCAGCAGACGCACUAGCGGCACCAUCUAAGCCCGGUAUACCGAGCAUCCUAAAACCUUCAGCAUACGUUCAUACUGUGAGACGUUCAACAUAGCAUAAAUGGGAGUGUUGUCGUUGUGCCACGGGAUGUCCCUACACUUGCAAAAACAUGGUGCUGACCGUUUUGCCAAACCUGCUGAAGUACUUGAGCAAGAAACUGCCAAAAAAAACGCAAAAGGCAAGGAACAGUUAUAGAAGCCACCGUUCCAUUGAAGAAAAGUGGUGCAGCACUCGAGAAGUUGGAAGCAAGCCUGCAGGUGGAAGAAACAAUAGGUCUGACCGCCGUCUUGGUGAGGUGCUCUGCAACUGCUGGGAACUGAAGGCCAUUGGGUAAUUGAACCAGGCAGUGCAAAGGAGGCCACUCUUGACCAUAUGCUGGAGUUUUUGGAUUCAUGGGAGGAUCAUUCAAAAGGACUUGGGUUCCUCAGCAAGCACAUUUCAGUGAGAAGUCCGAAAGGCGGUAACGUGUCUGAUGGUGUACUGGAAUCCCUACUGUCCAUAGAGCAGCUGCUUCCCGAGAGCGGUUAGCAGACCGAGGCUGCAGACAACACAAAUGUCCUUUCAGAAGCAGUGAAAAUAUCUGUGGAGCACAUUUCCUACAACACCGAAAAAAGUGAUUCCCACCUAGUCGAUUUCAUAGCCGCGGGCUAUGUAGUAAGGAAGCAGAUUCUGUGAAUCAGUUGUGAACGAUGCAAGGCAGCUUGUCUCAUCACCAAAGACAAUGUGGCCCCAAAUCUGCCGGCGGAUGCCUCUUUGCAGUGGGACCUUGGUGGACUUCUUUAUGCAUCACAUACUCUGUACGACUUGAUUCAGACGCUUGAGAACAAGCUACCUAUUUAGCACAGCUUGCCUCCCCGCAGUAUCUGUUACAGACAUGUGGCAAAAGAUUGGGCAGGCAUCACAGGUCGGCUACGGUGAGCAUGCUGUUACACUGUUACAUCUGUUGUACGCUUAUAUUGCCUACUGUGGGUUCAUUUUUUUUAAUGGAGUCAACCAAAAGGACAAAAAGAAGCCAAGCGGGUUAACCCUGUGUUCUGUGGAUUGCUUCUUGCUGCAAAGUUCAAGUAAACUUGUUUUUUCCAU